rnacentral:rRNA from 1 species
AAAAUUAAAAGGACGCGGUAACCUUGACCGUGAUAAUGUAGCAUAAUCAUUCGCCAUUUAAUUGAUGGAUAGUAUGAAUGGUUGAACGAAUAUUUCACUGUCUUAAAAAGAAAUACUUAAAAAUUAGAAUGAUAGUAAAGAUACUAUUUAAUAUUGUAAGACGAAAAGACCCUAUAGAGCUUAACUAUAAUUUUUUUACUAAUAUAAAAAAAACAUUUUUAAAAAUAGAAAAAUUGGUAGUUUAGUUGGGGCGACUGUCUUUUAAAAUAAACAAAGACAAGCAAAAGUUAAUUUAAAAACUUAUUGUAUAAUACAUUAAUUUAACAAUUAUAAAUAUAGGCAAUAAUGACCCGUUAUAAUUUUAUAAUAAAUAUAACGAUUAAUAAAUAAAAGCUACCUUAGGGAUAACAGGAUAAUUUUAUUUCAGAGAUCUAAUCGAAAAUAAAGUUUGUCACCUCUAUGUUGAAUUAAGA